GGGUGAUUGAAUGUUGUUUUGGCCAAUCAGGACCUACUCAUAGAGAUGCAUUGAAUCAAUGCAUCUCUAUAAGGAAAAUUCAGCAUCUCCGUACUUGAGUUGUUCUUUUUCAGUAUUCCCUGUUACUUUGUUUUGGUUUGUUUGCAAAAUUGUCACGGGUCUCCAAUUUUACUGAAACCUCAGACAGUAAGACCAGAGCAGCACAACAUAGCAUUCACAGAUAUGUGCAUAUGAACAGUGUUUCACAAGUCUACGGUCAUCUUUGACAACUGAUGUGUUAUUGUGGACCACAAUGACUUAUCCGAGUGGGCCAGUACAGGUCAUUAGAAUAUAGAGUUAGCAGACCACCAGACCAUUCAGAAUAUGACAUACAGGGUUAUUUACUGAAGUUGGAAUUGUCAAGUAAAUUUCAAAUUAGAGGCCAGAGUAGCCAAACUGGAUCAAAAUAAAGUUUGUUUUUUACUUACUUCUCCUCCUGCAAUGUCAUGGAAAAGGCAUGGUGUCUCCACAAUGGUCCAAUCUUACUCAUAGAGGAACACUAGGGAUCUGAGGUGCAUUUGCGGUGAGUGUUACUAACACAUUCAAGCUUCCCCUAGGAAAACAUUGAAUCAAUGAUAUCCUAUAGGGGCUUCCAUGUCACAUAACCAAGUUUUACUCUGCCAGAAGUGCCUCUUAUGUCUGUCAAGAAUACAAAGUAUUCCUGGCACUUAUAGUGUCUCUUUCAGGCCAGAGUAGCUCAUCCGAAAGCAUAACAGAUUUUUUUUCCAGUUAUGCUAUUAAUUUUAUGACCUUAAAUUUGAAAGUCACCCUGAAUUCAAACAGUGGUGAAUAACCCUGCUAAAGACUCCUCUGCCAACUUAAAACAAAACUACUUGUAAAUGUAUUUUGCGCUGCUCGUCUGACUUCGUGUUUCUACCUGGUUUAAUUUAAAGAAUCUCUAUAUUCAUUUGUAACUCAAAUUGUAAACCAAUAUGGCAGUUCUAAGGUUGGGUAGACAUACACAUCGUUAUGAGAAAGUGCUAAACAUCAUGCAAUUCGGCCUGAGCUGAAUGAUAUUUAACACUUUCUCAUAACGAUGUGUGGCCAUUUCACACGUUAUUAAAAUAUGUUGGGAAUGCGUUGUUAUUUGCAUCUGCGAAAUACAAGAGUAUCUGCAGUUGUCGAAAUAUAAUGCCGUUUAAUGGAUCAAACAUUAAUUAAGCAGAAGUGAUAAAACUAAACGGACUUUCGCAACUUUAAAGCAAGAGCUGUACUUACCUCACUGCUGAUAACUAUUUCACGUGGAUGUUCUAUCGACGCGCAGUAAUGGAGGCUUUUCCAGGAAGUCGCUUUCGAAAUACGUCAUUACUAUUGAACACUCAAAAUUUCCCUACCCCGUGUAAUUUCCCUACUCUCGUCACUUCCGGUGAUGCGGCCGAACCGGAAGUGAUGUUGGGUGGGGGGGGGUGUGCGCCUCCGCGCAGGCGCACACCACCUAGGUAGGGAUUUUUUUCACAGGGAGGUGAGGAAAAUAAAG